MCCCGGACCCACAAGUGGCAACCVCCUUUAUUUGGCCUAAAGCGUCCGUAGCCGGAUUGGUAAAUUUUCUGUGAAAUCGUUGCGCUYAACGUAACUGCGUGCAGGAAACACUGCAAAUCUAGGGACCGGGARGAGUCAGAGGUAUUUGARGGGGAGCGGUAAAAUGCUAUAAUCCUUCAAGGACCACCUGUGGCGAAGGCGUCUGACUAGAACGGAUCCGACGGUGAGGGACGAAAGCUAGGGGAGCAAUCCGGAUUAGAUACCCGAGUAGUCCUAGCUGUAAACUCUGCGAGCUAGGUGUUGCGCAWUCUUCGGGAUUGCGCRGUGUCGUAGCGAAGGCGCUAAGCUCGCCGCCUGGGARGUACGGUCGCAAGGCUGAAACUUAA
rnacentral:rRNA from 1 species